rnacentral:ribozyme from 1 species
UGCCAAGCAACUCCUAUCCCUACCUCCACGCGGUACCGGCCGGAAACUAUGAGCAACCUUAGGGAAGAUCGGGUAAUCAAAACCGGUGGGAACUUUGGUCAUAGGCUGACAGGGAAGG